GUGCUCACUUUGGCAGCACAUAGACUAAAAUAAUGACACAGAGAAGAUUAGCAUGGUCCUGUGCAAGGAUGUCAUGCAAAUUCUGAAGAAAAGUCUGAUUAUUAU
ensembl:snRNA U6 U6 spliceosomal RNA